rnacentral:rRNA from 1 species
UACGUAGGGUCCGAGCGUUGUCCGGAAUUACUGGGCGUAAAGAGCUCGUAGGUGGUUUGUCGCGUUGUUCGUGAAAACUCACAGCUUAACUGUGGGCGUGCGGGCGAUACGGGCAGACUGGAGUACUGCAGGGGAGACUGGAAUUCCUGGUGUAGCGGUGGAAUGCGCAGAUAUCAGGAGGAACACCGGUGGCGAAGGCGGGUCUCUGGGCAGUAACUGACGCUGAGGCACGAAAGCGUGGGGAGCAAACAGG